rnacentral:rRNA from 1 species
GCCAGACUCCUACGGGAGGCAGCAGUGGGGGAUAUUGCACAAUGGGGGAAACCCUGAUGCAGCGACGCCGCGUGGGUGAAGAAGCGCCUCGGCGCGUAAAGCCCUGUCAGCAGGGAAGAAGGAGGACGGUACCUGACUAAGAAGCCCCGGCUAACUACGUGCCAGCAGCCGCGGUAAUACGUAGGGGGCAAGCGUUAUCCGGAUUUACUGGGUGUAAAGGGGGCGCAGACGGCAGCGCAAGCCAGGAGUGAAAGCGCGGGGCCCAACCCCGGGACUGCUCUUGGAACUGCGCGGCUGGAGUGCAGGAGGGGCAGGCGGAAUUCCUGGUGUAGCGGGGAAAUGCGUAGAUAUCAGGAGGAACACCGGUGGCGAAGGCGGCCUGCUGGACUGCGACUGACGUUGAGGCCCGAAAGCGUGGGGAGCAAACAGGAUUAGAUACCCUUGUA